ACGCUCGCAAAACCUUAGCCACCUCUCACCGUCCCGGCAAAGCUUUGAUUUCCACUUCCGUUAUGAUUCUCCUUCGAUUUUCUCAUCUUGAAGGACAUACAAAAUCAUCUUUCUACCCAACAUUAAUUCUCUUUUACACUAAACAACAGGUCAUCAUCAACAACCAUUUCAAUUGUGAAAUUCUCUUUUGUGGUGUUUAAUAUCUUUUGGUUUUGAUUGAUGAAUGUUGAAAGGUGAAAGUAGUCUUAGUGAUGGGAAAGCUAUAGUGAGAGGUUGAGUUGCAGAAAAAGUUGUAGUGAGAAUUUGAAGUGGUUACUGGUUAAAGCAUGGGCUUCUUUUGGACAGGGUGAAUUGUACUUUGAGACAAGAAAAUAUCCAACAGUAUGAAGGUAUGCGAACAUCAAAUUUAGUUAUUGGUUGACAUUAUUAUGAAUGGGUAUUUGAUGGUUAUUUGAUCAUGUGUGGUUGGGCCUAACUCAACCCUACAAAACCGGCUUGUAGGGUGAGGAUUGCCCCCCACUUAUAAGGACAUGUUCAGGCCAUAUAUUGUCCGAUGUGGGACUCUUAACACACCUCCUCACGCCCAGGACUAGACAACUGGAGCGUGGAAAUAAAUGGUGGGUGGUCCGAUAGCGGAAACCAUAGAAGGUGGCCCACCGGAUCUUAAACCAGGCUCUGAUACCAUGUUAAGAAGUGUGGUUGGGCCUAACUCAACCCUACAAAACCGGCUUGUAGGGUGAGGAUUGCCCCCCACUUAUAAGAACAUGUUCAGGCAAUAUAUUAUCCAAUGUGGGACUCUUAACAAUUACUAAUAAGUAUUUUACAUGUUUAGGUGUUAUUUAAUGGUUCUAAAUUUUGUUGUUGGAGAUUAAGCCCUUGACAUCACUAAAAUAGAGAAGGUUCAUCAUAUCUCAGCUUUACCCCACCAAAAUAACAGCUUGCUAUUGUAUAAUAAAAAACCAUCAUGUACAUUAUAUUCAUCACUGUAAUCCUUUCCAAUAUAAAAAUAUACAAACAAAACCUUUAUAUUCAGCAAUGUAACUUAAAAAUUCUUAUGUUGAAAACUAUUUUUACCUGUCAUUAUAGGUUAUAUAAGCUUUAUUAAUUUACAAUUUGUUGUCGUAGCAACUGCUAUUAGCGUCUCGCAGGUCAAAAACCUGACAUUGCUACUAUUAAUCUAUAUCAUGUGCUAUUGACAACAUUAAAAAAUAACUAUAGUUCUGAAACUAACUAAAUCACUCAAACCACAUCAAACUAAACUUCGAAAGUUGUCCAAGUUUUGAAAA